rnacentral:rRNA from 1 species
GACGAACGCUGGCGGCGUGCUUAACACAUGCAAGUCGAACGGUAAGGCCCUUCGGGGUACACGAGUGGCGAACGGGUGAGUAACACGUGGGUGAUCUGCCCUGCACUUCGGGAUAAGCCUGGGAAACUGGGUCUAAUACCGGAUAGGACCACUGCCUGCAUGGGUGGUGGUGGAAAGCUUUUGCGGUGUGGGAUGGGCCCGCGGCCUAUCAGCUUGUUGGUGGGGUGAUGGCCUACCAAGGCGACGACGGGUAGCCGGCCUGAGAGGGUGACCGGCCACACUGGGCCUGAGAUACGGCCCAGACUGCUACGGGAGGCAGCAGUGGGGAAUAGUGCACAAUGGGCGCAAGCCUGAUGCAGCGGCGCCGCGUGAGGUAUGACGACCUUCGGGUUGUAAACCUCUUUCAGCACCGACGAAGCGCAAGUGACGGUAGGUGCAGAAGAAGGACCGGCCAACUACGUGCCAGCCGCCGCAGUAA